rnacentral:rRNA from 1 species
CCCUUAGAUGUCCUGGGCUGCACGCGCGCUACACUGAUGUGUCCAGUAAGCACCUAACCUCUUCCGAAAGGAACGGGUAACCUUUGCAAAGCACAUCGUGAUGGGGAUAGAUUAUUGCAAUUAUUAGUCUUGAACGAGGAAUUCCUAGUAAGCACAAGUCAUCAGCUUGUGUUGAUUACGUCCCUGCCCUUUGUACACACCGCCCGUCGCUCCUACCGAUUGAAUGUUCCGGUGAGCUCUUCGGACUGCGCGGCCUGCAGUUUCUGCGUUCCGUGCGGAAAGUUGCGCAAACCUUAACAUUUAGAGGAAGGAGAAGUCGUAACA